ACAUUGUUUGGAUGGCUGAGCUCUGUCUCUGGUCUGACUUUAAAAUUAAGGUUCACUUUGCCCCUCAACGCCAUGGGUCCAGCUCUCAGGACUCCUCCAGGCUACCUUUACCUUCCAUUUUUGAGGUAGUGUCAUCUACCAGCAAGAGCUCUGAGCCAUAAAUCAGGAAACCAGGGCUUCCUGCUUCUGUCCUCUGACCAGACAGAAAUGGAGCAUUCACCAAGUCACAUCAUCUCUUUGGGACUCAUCAGGGUUUGACUGUGUUUUCCCCAGAGUCCCUUCUAGUACCAACAGGAGAGGAUCAGAUCAUCCUAAAAGCCCUCUUCAAUUCUGAAGUCAGUCAUCCUCUAUCAGAGUUCCUGAACACAGCCAGGCUGGUUC
rnacentral:lncRNA from 10 species